rnacentral:misc_RNA from 1 species
UUAAAUGAAGAGAAAAGCAAACUAGAAGACAUUAAAACAAGAGCAAUGUCACAUCUCUCAGACAAAGAAAGGGAAUACAAUGCUGCUAGGCGACAGUUGGAGGAUGACCUGGCCCUGACCAGACAGCAGCUGUCCCAGUACCAGUCUCAGCUUCAGGCCAUGUCCACCAUCUCUGUGCCCUCUGUUAUGGAGGUCAGUCAAAUUGAGGACUCAUCUCGCAUUGCAAGUUUAGAAGAUGAGUUAAAGAGUAAAUCUGAAAAGAUUGUUGAACUUCAGCAGAAAAUGAUGGAAAUAUCCAUGACCACUAGUACUAGGCACAUUGCUGAAGAUAAAGUAUCCAUUACAAGUUGUAAUGUAGGGGAUCUGGCCCUAUUUUGUUUGGAUGACAGACAUGACCAGUAUGUUGUGUUCACUAUAGGAAGUACCCUUCACUUCCUUCAUACCGACUGUCAAGACACACUUGGUCUAAAGCCCAAUCCCGGUGAAACCAAAAAGUCAUGGGUUCUAGCCGAAAUCACAGAGAAAGAGUACUGCCAAGCUAAAAAGCCACAGAAUAGAUUCAAAGUACCAGUUGGAACCAAAUUCUACAGAGUAAAGGCAAAGCCUUGGCGACCAGAGAGUGGGGCAAGGGGAACAUCAUCUACAGCCAGUACUUAGGAUCAUACAAUUCACUGAAUGAAGUUUUCAUUUUCAUAUUAAACAUACAGAAUCACAAACUUUAUGUAUAAUUUAUUCACUACAAACAAAAACAAAAGACAUGUAUAAAUAACAAUAAAAAAUAUCAGUCAACAGAUAAUUUAUAUGUAGAUUUGUUUUUUCUCCAUGUUUCAUAAAAUACGCAUACAUAAAUACCUACUCUUAACUGUAUAUUCAGUGUAAAAAAUACAUACUCUUAACGUUAUAAUCAAUGUUUACAUACAUCAAUGUUUACAUAUAUGAAUGUGCUGGAAUGUUGUUUGUGGCAGCACAAAGCUUUCAGGAAUUAAAUUGCAACUAGUGGAUGAAUGUACAUUAUUGUAAACAUUAUAGCUAUGCCCCUUCUCCAUGAACUUGGUUAUCAGAAACAGUUUUAAGACAUUUUAAUUUGGCCUUUUUGCAUCUCUUCCAUUACCAUAUAGUCUUAAGAGUUUUCAGUUGCAUAAUUGUUUGCUGGAAACACGACAGACCUUAUCUUGUGAUAUACAAUUUGCUAUGAUUGUAAUUUUAAAACAUAUUGAUUCUCAUGCAAGAUACUUGCACAAUGUGUUGUUAUUGAGUAUAAAUAAAACGCAAAUAGAU